GGGGACGUAGCUCAGAUGGUAGAGCGCUCGCUUAGCAUGCGAGAGGUACCGGGAUCGAUGCCCGGCGUCUCCA
rnacentral:tRNA from 1 species